rnacentral:rRNA from 1 species
UACGUAGGGUGCGAGCGUUGUCCGGAAUUAUUGGGCGUAAAGAGCUCGUAGGCGGUCUGUCGCGUCGAUCGUGAAAACUUGGGGCUUAACCCUGAGCUUGCGGUCGAUACGGGCAUGACUGGAGUUCGGCAGGGGAGACUGGAAUUCCUGGUGUAGCGGUGAAAUGCGCAGAUAUCAGGAGGAACACCGGUGGCGAAGGCGGGUCUCUGGGCCGAUACUGACACUGAAAAGCGAAAGCCAGGGGAGCAAACGGG